UUGGAAUACUCAUUUUUGUAAUAUUUGCAGGUUUCGUUUGUUUUCACCAGUCAAGCGGAUGGCAAGCUCGUUCCUGUUGAAUAACUAUAAAGCCAACAGAACAGGUGGGAAAUAGAGAUUCGCCUCAUUUCAAAGAAAUACUUACGAGAAAGUUCACGUUUUCAUGUCCACGUCAAGCACCAUCACCGAAGACGUCAAGAGAACUCAUGUUCGAAACUGGAUUUGAUAUUGCAAGCUCAAUCACUGUCCGCACCAACUCGGAAUGGAGCUUCUACAAAUAUAUUACCUGCAAUUUUUAAACCUUUGCAAAAGCCAAGCAAGUCAAAUAGAUCCUUAUGAUCCAGGCAAUCCACUAGGGUCCAGGAAUCCCUAGAACCUGAAAAUCCUUAUGAUCCAGGCAGUCCUACAGCCUCUGAUAUGGAACCUCCCCCUACCAUAUCCCGUCAAAAAGUUAGGACCGACUUCAGCCUACUCGUCAUCAAAUCUGAUGAAGAAUAUACACCUGACCUUAAAACUCUUGAAGUUCGCUGGUACCUCCCUAAAGACGCAAUAAAGAGGAAAUGGUACACCAGUACCUAUUCCAAAGAACAACAAAAGGAGUUAGGUCGGCUAUGGAUAGCCGAUAUGAAAAGACUCCGAUGUGACAUAGAAUUCUUUCGAUGGUUUGAGUUUACCAGAAGAAUGGAAAACCAGAAUGAAUCCCUUAACGUUAUCAUUAAUAAAUGGUAUACCUAGAGUAACAAGAUAAUUGAAUCCGUUACUCCUCCUCUUGAAGGGAUAAAAAUUCCUCAUUCCAAUGAAGUCCUCAAUGCUUCACCCUUUAAGAAGAAGCAUGAUAGACCCCUAUCAGCCCUUAUUAAUAGAGACCUCGAUAGGAUAGUUGAACAAAACAACUAUACUAAUCAGGUCCUUCACACUAUCUCCCAACAAAUAGGAGAUACUAAAAACUCGAUACUUCCUUUUAGUUCCCCCACUCCUGAGAAAGGGACUUCUAGUCCUAAUCCUAUAACCAACCCCAUCUUCAAGAUUCCUGAAUUCCAAAAGGAGAAAUUUCCUAAUCUCAGUGAUGAUUUCAAGGUUUCGGGGAAAAUCUUGGAACAAAUCAAUGAAAAACUUUCCAAGUUUAAGAUCUCUGAGAAAGCAGAGUCNNNNNNNNNNNNNNNNNNNNNNNNNNNNNNNNNNNNNNNNNNNNNNNNNNNNNNNNNNNNNNNNNNNNNNNNNNNNNNNNNNNNNNNNNNNNNNNNNNNNNNNNNNNNNAUAUAUAUAACACAAUGAACAGAAAGUUCCAGUAGCAGCUCAUAAAAUAAAGAGAGCUGUUUUUUUAAAAAAAAUAAAUUUGAUAAGCCAGAUGACGUUGGUUUUCCUAGCUCAAGGUUGUGUAACUUUAUGUUCCUAAAUGUUGUAGCAGGAUCUGAUGACAGUGUUUGAAAUUUAAGUAGCUUCAACCAUCUUAUUAUGAAUCAGUGUGCUCUGAUCAUCAUGCUCUAUUAUAAUUUCGAUCAUGUAUGACAAGUGCUUGUUGUCUUCCAUAUUUAUUUCAACUUCAAGUGUUAAUACAGGUCUGCGAUUCAUGAUAAAAUGAGCUGCAACCGGUGCCAUCCAGAUGCAGUGAUGCCAGAUGACAACACCGAGUUCAACACUCAGGGUCAUCAGCCUGAUCAAGAGGAUAUUGGGGGAUUUGCAGGUGUAGCUGGUUGCUUGGAUACAUUCCAAAGCUCUGAGAAACAGGUUGGUAUUUAUUUGUAUAGUCCAAGUAUCAGUUCUGUAAUUUGGUUCUCAUACAACAAACAUCCUUCUCCAGAUAGGAGCUCCCAAGGAAGAGGACUUAGCCAGUUGGGGUCAUCAUUUUUCUCCCAAAUCAGUACCAGAUGUAAUUUUCCAGGCUGCAUCAGGAGAUGAGGUAAGCAGAUGGUUCAAAUAACGAUUGCAUUGAACUCAGACUAAACCCCUCUCCUGUCAUGUCCCCGAGCAACAAGAAAGUAAAUGAUACUAUGAUGUUACAUAAUGACGCUAAAAGAAAAAAAAGACAAACUUAAGUCUCUAUGUCCCUCGGGGUCCUGUUUGCUGUUAUAUUAUAUUAAAUUGGAAUACUCAUUUUUGUAAUAUUUGCAGGUUUCGUUUGUUUUCACCAGUCAAGCGGAUGGCAAGCUCGUUCCUGUUGAAUAACUAUAAAGCCAACAGAACAGGUGGGAAAUAGAGAUUCGCCUCAUUUCAAAGAAAUAAUUACAAGAAAGUUCACGAUUUCAUCUCCACGUCAGUCAAGCACCAUCACCGAAGACGUCAAGAGAACUCAUGUUCGAAACUGGAUUUGAUAUUGCAAGCUCAAUCACUGUCCGCACCAACUCGGAAUGGAGCUUCUACAAAUAUAUUACCUGCAAUUUUUAAACCUUUGCAAAAGCCAAGCAAGUCAAAUAGAUCCUUAUGAUCCAGGCAAUCCACUAGGGUCCAGGAAUCCCUAGAACCUGAAAAUCCUUAUGAUCCAGGCAGUCCUACAGCCUCUGAUAUGGAACCUCCCCCUACCAUAUCCCGUCAAAAAGUUAGGACCGACUUCAGCCUACUCGUCAUCAAAUCUGAUGAAGAAUAUACACCUGACCUUAAAACUCUUGAAGUUCGCUGGUACCUCCCUAAAGACGCAAUAAAGAGGAAAUGGUACACCAGUACCUAUUCCAAAGAACAACAAAAGGAGUUAGGUCGGCUAUGGAUAGCCGAUAUGAA
rnacentral:lncRNA from 1 species